CGGUUGAUCCUGCCGGAGGUUACUGCUAUCGGGGUUCGAUUAAGCCAUGCGAGUCAAAAGGUUUCUUCGGAAACCUUGGCGAACUGCUCAGUAACACGUGGAUAACCUACCCUUGGGACUGGAAUAACCCCGGGAAACUGGGGAUAAUACCGGAUAGAUCAGGGAUGCUGGAAUGCACCUUGAUCCAAAGCUCCGGCGCCCAAGGAUGGGUCUGCGGCCUAUCAGGUUGUAGUGGGUGUAACGUACCUACUAGCCGACGACGGGUACGGGUUGUGAGAGCAAGAGCCCGGAGAUGGAUUCUGAGACACGAAUCCAGGCCCUACGGGGUGCAGCAGGCGCGAAACCUUUACAAUGUGCGAAAGCAUGAUAAGGGAACUCCGAGUGCCAGUAUCUAAUACUGGCUGUCCUUGUGCCUAAACCGCACAAGAUAGCAAGGGCCGGGUAAGACCGGUGCCAGCCGCCGCGGUAACACCGGCGGCCCGAGUGGUAGCCGCUAUUAUUGGGUCUAAAGGGUCCGUAGCCGGUUCGAUAAGUCCUCUGGGAAAUCUGGUUGCUUAACAAUCAGACUGCCAAGGGAUACUGUCGAACUUGAGACCGGGAGAGGUAAGAGGUACUUCAGGGGUAGGAGUGAAAUCUUGUAAUCCCUGGGGGACCAUCUGUGGCGAAGGCGUCUUACCAGAACGGGUCUGACGGUGAGGGACGAAAGCUGGGGGAGCGAACCGGAUUAGAUACCCGGGUAGUCCCGGCCGUAAACGAUGCUCGCUAGGUGUUAGGUACGGCAUGACCGUAUCUGGUGCCGUAGGGAAGCCGUUAAGCGAGCCACCUGGGAAGUACGGUCGCAAGGCUAAAACUUAAAGGAAUUGGCGGGGGAGCAC
rnacentral:rRNA from 1 species